AACGAUGCUCUUCCUGACUUUUGAGGAAGAUGUGUCUGUUCAGCCACACUGUUUAUCCACUUCAGAAAUGACCAUCCACUCUUACUGCCUGACAUGAAGCACAGAAGAAGGUAUUUCAUUUAAAAGUACAGCUUUUACAAGGUCAACAUGAAAACACACAUGUACAGGAUUAAAUAAGAGAUGUGAACUCACCAUAGCAACCCCUGCAUCACAUUGCAGAUAUGCUGCUUCUAAGAUACGGCAAAUGUAUCUGAAGAAAUACACAUGAAUAUGAGAUUUCACUUGUAGAGGAGGAGCACCCAUUUUCUCACACUGCCUGAGAUGACCGAUGAAGAAGACAGCAAGUAUUCUGGACUGACACAUGUAGUUGUCUCCAUACUUUCUUUCAUCAGUGUUCAAGGUUUUGUCUCUGUGGUACAGAAAUGCAGGAACCCUAAAUAAAUUUUGAAUAUUUUUGGUAGCAGAGGUUUAAUUAAAACCUCAAAGGUUUUAUUAGGCCCAAAAACCUCAUUGCCAAUCUGCAUAUCUACAUUUUAUCAGAAAGAAAAGGUUUUUUAUUCUUUCAAGCCAACAAGUUUUUUCAUUGAAGAUGUUAAAAAAUCUGUUUAAGAAAUCUACUGAUAAAACACAUCCCGUUACAUGCAACUUAUUUUCACUACAACACCACUUCUCCAUUGGUUUGCUGUAUUUUUUCAGAGGGUUAUUUAUACUUGGGGUAAGGGUUGAUGUACAGUGACUGAAUGGCUGGUCCCUGGUGUUUCUGUGCACUGGGGACAUGCUCUGGUCCCAGGUAACCCUGGUUAUGAUGGGGUUCAAGGGUUCACCUUUCCCAUGAGUUGGGUUCCAAGUCUUCCUUGGUGGAGCUCCUGCCCUGGCUGUGUUUCCUGGGAUGGUGCCUUGAUUUUGGUGGGAGCUGAGGCUGACUGCCCCAGAGCCUGGGAGAACUGUUUGGCUUAUACACUCACCAGGACUGCUGGCCUCCUCCCAGCUGUGCAAGGAGUUGUAUUUAAUCUCUGGUUUUUAUUCCCUCGCCAUGGCUACCUAGUGGUGCAAAACGUGCAGCUGCUGAGGUGAGAAGGGGUGGUUCAGCCAGCAUGGGUGAUACAAAAUGCCUGCCUGAGAAGCUGCCUGACAAUUUCCACCUUUGCUAUCAUUCAAAACUCCCUUUAAGCUGAUCACUGUGCUUAGUUUUGACUGUCCCUUUGCUCACCUUAGGGAUAAUGUUAAUUGUGACUCUGUGCUGGCAGAGAUUGCCACAGGGUAUUUGUGCUCUUCCUUGGCUUCUUUAUGUCUGUAGUACUCCUAGGUUUUUUGGCUUGUUUGCGGUUGGAUUUUUGUUUGUUUUUUUG